UGCGCAGGCGGCCUGUUAAGUCAGGGGUGAAAUAUGACGGCUCAACCGUCAAACUGCCCCUGAAACUGACAGGCUUGAGUCCGGGAGAGGAAGGUGGAAUUCCAGGUGUAGCGGUGAAAUGCGUAAAUAUCUGGAGGAACACCAGUGGCGAAGGCGGCCUUCUGGCCCGGAACUGACGCUCAGGCACGAAAGCAUGGGGAGCGAACAGGAUUAGAUACCCUGGUAGUCC
rnacentral:rRNA from 1 species